rnacentral:lncRNA from 1 species
GUACAAUUAAAAAAACAGGGCAUGCUUACACGCGACCAGUGUUUGCGGGUUCCAGCCGGUCAGGUUUGGCUAGCCGGACAAUUCUUAUUUGACUAAUGAUCGACUAACUGCGACUUAGCCGAUACCGACGGGAAUCGAACCCGCACAUACUUCGUCUUGAUGACAUAGCACGAAACCUGCACGUUUUUCAACACAGAACCCAAAGUUGCCGGAUAAAACCCGUCAUCAGAACCUGCAAAUAAACUGGCGCAAGCAAAUUGAGUUCC